GGUGGUAAAAGAGCAAUGGGAAAUGAAAACGGGUUUCCAAACACAACCAGUGUGGAUGAGAACACAGAAGGCAAGAAUGAAACGACUGCAGUGCCAAAUAUUUCAACAACAACAGCAACACCGCAUGCUGGGUGGCACCCCUUUGGAGACAA